ACGCUCACUCCAGCAGCAUGCAUAGGAAAAUUGGAACGACCUAGAGACCAUUAGCAUGUUCCCUGCGCAAGGAAGACAUGGGAAUUCAUGAAGUGUUCCAUACACUA